rnacentral:lncRNA from 1 species
GCCAGUUUAUCAGCUGUUUGCUUGUGUGAGCUGUACUGGCCGCACGGCACCCUAACUACCAUGGGGCACUGUGCGGCCACAGCUCACACAGCCCCCUCCAGCCAGGGCCGGUGCAAGGAUUUUUGCCGCCCUAGGCAAAAGUAAAGUUUGCCGUCCCCCCAUGUGACAUCACAAUGCCCCACCCAUAUGAUUUGCCAUGUUAUCUAACGCCAGUGCUGCAGUGCCGCCGUGUUUAC